CUUUCCGAGGAGCGUUGCAGCGCCCCCACCAUGCGGGGCGUGAGGCUCGGAAUUCGAUCCAGGCAACGACGCUCACCCACU
rfam:Acidovorax sp. 65-7 SCNpilot_expt_1000_bf_scaffold_1882, whole genome shotgun sequence.